AGCGUUGUUCGGAUUUACUGGGCGUAAAGGGCGCGUAGGCGGUCAGCACAAGUCAGUUGUGAAAUCUCCGGGCUUAACUCGGAAAGGUCAACUGAUACUGUGCGACUAGAGUGCGGAAGGGGCAACUGGAAUUCUUGGUGUAGCGGUGAAAUGCGUAGAUAUCAAGAGGAACACCUGCGGCGAAGGCGGGUCUCUGGGCAGUAACUGACGCUGAGGAGCGACAGCGUGGGGAGCAAACAGG
rnacentral:rRNA from 1 species